rnacentral:rRNA from 1 species
UUUAAUGGAGAGUUUGAUCCUGGCUCAGGACGAACGCUGGCGGCGUGCCUAAUACAUGCAAGUCGA